CGGCAUCCCUUCCCAUCUGUGGCCCAGAGGCCUAGGAGAAAAGAAUAAUUUGGAAGGCCAGACUGAGGGCCCUGCUGCCCUGUGCAGCCUUGGGCCAUUGAUCCCUGCAUUGAGGCUAUGCUGGCUCCAGCCUCAGUUCAAAGUGUCCCAGAAACAUCUCUGGCCACUGCUCUGAAAGGCACAAACUGUAAACAUUGGCCGCUUCCAUGUUUUGUUAAGCCUGAAGGCACACAGAAUGCAAGAUUGGCAGCUCCACCUAGAUUUCAGAGGAUGUAUAAGAAAGCCUGGCUGUCCAAGCAGAAUCCUGCCACAGGGCUGGAGCCCUCACAGAGAAUCUCUACUAUGGCAGUGCAGAGGGGAAAUGUGAAGUUGGAGUCCCCAUAGCACUUUCUAAUGGAGCUAUGGGAAGGGGAUGCCACCUUCCAGACCCAAGAAUGGUAGAGUCACUGGCAGCUUGCAACCUAAACAUGGAAAAUCUGCAGGCACUCAAGUCCAACCCAUGACAGCAGCCACGGGGAUUGUACCCUGUAAAGCCAAAGAAGUGGACCUGUUCAAGCCUUGGGAGCCCACCCUUUUCACCAGUGUGUCCUGGAUGUGGGACAUGGAGUCAAAGGAGAUUAUUUUGGAGCUUUAGAGUUUAAUGGCUGCUGUGCUGAGUUUCAGACUUGCAUGGGGCCUGUUUGAUGCUUUCUUUUGGGUGACUCCUCCCUUUUGGAAUAGAAACAUUUGCCCAAUGCCUGUACCACCAUCUUAUCUUAACAUCCGACUCCAAGUUCUACAGUUUUGGAACUCAGAGUGUCUCUCCUUGCUCCUCAGCCUGCAGAUGGCCUAUUGACGGACCUUGUGAUUGUGUGAAGAAGAAGGCUAUGAUUAUUGCAGAAUCAGGUACUUCAAGAAUGAAAGUUUGACACUCACACUACCAAGCAAGGUUGGAAAAAGUUUGAAAUGGAUAAUGAUGGAAGGAGGGUAACCAUGGAACUGAUCCAUGAACCUGUGUGGAGAUUUUGAGCUCUACAGCAAGCGUGAGUGGACACUGGUGGUCAUGAGAAUGGGAGCAUGGUUGACCAAGAACCCUAGCUGCUGUACUCUGGAAUUUAUCAGCCACAUUUGCACUGAAGAUAAAUUUCUCACUGACUAAUCAAGCCAAUGACUGAAAGUGAUCCUCACUCUUGUCACACAGGUUGGAGUACACUGGUGCCAUCUCACUGAAACCUUCACCUCCUGGGUUUAAGCAAUUCUCCUGCCUCAGCCUCCCUGGUAGCUGGAAUUACAAGAAUAUGCCACCAUAGCUGGGAUUACAAGCAUGUGCCACCACAUCUGGCUAACUUUUGUACUUUUUUUUUAGUAGAGACAGGGUGUAUUAGGGUUCUCUACAGGGAUAGAACUAAUAGGAUCUCUCUCUCUCUCUCUCUCUCUCUCUCUCUCUCUCUCUCUCUCUUGUGUUCACUCUCUCUCUAUAUAUACAUAUACAUAUACAUAUAUAUGUGUAUAUAUAGAUAUGUAUAUAUAAAGGGGAGUUCAUUAAGGAGUAUGAAACUCACACGAUCACAAAGUCCCACAAUAUUCCAUCUGCAAGCUGAGGAGCAAGGAAGCCAGUCUGAUUCCCAAAGCUGAAGAGCUUGAAGUCUGAUGUUGGAGGGCAGAAAGGAUCCAGCAUGGGAGAAAGACGUAGGCUGGGAUACUAAGCCAGUCUAAUCUCUCCAUGUUCUUCUGCCUGUUUUUGUGCUGGCAGCUGAUUAGAUGCUGCCCACCCAGAUUAAGGGUGGGUCUGCCUUUCCCAGUCCACUGACUCAAAUGUUAAUCUCCUUUGGCAACACCCUCACAGACAUACCCAGGAUCAAAAUUUUGCAUCCUUCAAUCCAAUCAAGUUGACACUCAGUAUUAACUAUUACAAGUCCACCCCUUGUCAACUUGAACCCAUACACAUCUCCUGAGAUCAUACAUAAUCUUCAAAUAAAGACAAUAAUAAGGUCAUAAUUAUGCCUAACAUAAUGCAACUACCAUUCAUACAACUGGAAACACACCAACCCCCAAACCAAAUUCUAUUCCAUAAAGUUAACACUGAAAUGCUGAUAGGAAGUCAAUAAAUCUUACGUCACAUGAUAAAGGAAAAGGGAAAUAGAAUGAAGCUGUUUUCUUAGUACAAGUGUAUACAUGCAAAACAUGUUUUUAACAAAAGAAGGAGGAAAUGCUCACAAUAAUUAUAGUCCUCAUUUUUGCAGCUGGUUACAUGGUCGUAGCUGUUAUUGAUGACCACCUUCUACUACCCAUUCUGUAUUCUCUUUGCCUUCAGCAAGCACCUCAGCAGGUCAUGGUUUUUUCCUGGUGGAGUGACCCAAAACUUCAUUCCUGAAGGGUCUGGGCCAUUUGUAGCCCUGCCUGGAUUGAGCUGUUGUAGUUUCCCAUUGAUCUCAAUCAUAGGGCAUGGUAAUACUAAGAGAUACCCUAAUGGAUCUCCUGUAUUCCAUGCAUACUCUUCCUUGCCUCCAUUGUGGAGUGGUAGACUGAUUUCAUCUUGAUAGUCCGGGUCAAUCACCCCAGCCGACACUGUAACUCCUUUCUUAGCCUGUUGACUUAAAGGUAGGAGCAGCCCAAAGUGGCCAGGUGGCAAUCUUCACUUCUAGUUUAAUAGAAUCGUUGCUGUGUCUCCUGGUGGCAGCAUUUCUCCCUCUGGAACUAAGACCUCUAGGCCAGCAGAACAUAAUGUCAUGAGAAGAGAAAGCAAAAAUUUUGCUAGUGGAUCACUGGGGAUGAUGGUGAGUAGUGCCACUUCCACUUCCACCCCUUGAUUCCUGGACCCGUGAAUCCUGGCUGUGGGAGAAACAGUACCAUAUAUUGGAUGCUGAUUCAGAGCAUACACGGCCUUCUGGAGAACUUUGCCCCAGCCCUGCAAAGUAUUGUUACCUAGUUGGCAUAGUAAUUGUGACUUCAAAAGGACACUCUACCGUUCUACCAAUAGAGCUACUUUAGGAUGAAUGGGAACAUGGCAAGACCAGUGAAUUCCAGAAGCAUGAGCCCACUACCACACUUCUUUAGCUGUAAAUUGAGUGCUUUGGUCAGAAGCAAUGCUGUAUGGAAUACCAUGAUGGUGGAUAAGGCAUUCCUUGAGUCCAGGGAUGAUAGUCUUGGCAGAAGGAUUGUGUGCAGCACAGGCAAACCCAUAUCCAGAGUAAGUCUAUUCCAAUAGGACAAAUCUCUCUCCUUUCCAUGAUAGAAGACAUCCAGUUACAAUCAACCUGCCACCAACUAGCUGGCUGUUCACCCCAAGGAAUGGUGUCAUACUGAGGGCUCAGUGUUGGUAUCUGCUGCUGGCAAAUUGGGCACUCAGCAGUGGCCAUAACCAGGUCAGCCUUGGCUAGUGGAAGUCCAUGUUGCUGAGCCCAUGUGUAACCUCCAUCCUUGCCACCAGGGCCACUUUGUUCAUGGGCCCAUUGAGAGAUCAUAGAGGUGGCUGGCAAAAGUGGCUAGUAGUGUCCACAGAAUGGGUCAUCCUGUCCACCUGAUUAUUAAAAUUAUCUUCUGCUGAUGUCACUGUUUGGUGACCUCAGCACUCACAUGGAAUACAAAUAUCUUCACAGUUUUUGACCACUUGGAGAGGUCCAUCCAAAUACCUCUUCCCCAAAUUUCUUUGACACCAAAUUUCAAACAUACUUCUUUCAAGUCCCUGACCAUCCAGCCAAACCACUGGCUAAGGCCCAUGCAUCAGUGUAUAAUCACAGAUCUGGCCAUUUCUCCUUCCAUGCAAACUCUACAACCAGUGCACUGCUUGAAGUUCUGCCCACUGGGAAGAUUUUCCUUCCCCGCUGUCCUUCAGGGAUUUUCUAGAAAGGGGCUGUAGUGCUGCAGCUGUCCACUUUCAGGUGGUGCCAGCAUAUUGUGCAGAACCAUCUGUGAACAAGGCCCUAGUCUUCUUUUCCUCUGUCAACUGAUCAUAAGGAACUCCCCAUGAGGCCAUAGGUGCAGACUGGGGGAGAGAAGGCAGCAUGGCAGGAGUGGAAACCAUGGGCAUUUGAACCACUUCCUCAUGUAAUUUACUUGUGCCUUCAGGAUAUCCUUGAGCCUGAUCAUGUAUAUACCACUUCAGUUUAUUAAGAUAAUAUAAUUUUGUCAUAUAUAUGUUAUGAGUAAUCAUGUAGCUUAAAAGUUUGUUGAGUAGCUCCCAAGAUCUUGAGGAGGGCUAGAGAACUGGGCUUGGACACUUCCUAGCCAAUAAAGGUGAUCACAGUCAAGUACAGGACUGUUGAGUGAAGAUUCGCUGCUCCUACCAACAGGCAUAGACACGGUGGAUUGCCUUCACACUGCUCUUGACCCACAAUUCUUCUAGGGUUACUCUUGCCACUGUUAUUCUAUGAACUGGAGAUGGAUCCUACUGAUUCCCCACCAUAAAUAACGGCCGUGGACGUUUAUUUUUUUUGGUUCUAAUUCAAUGUCUGGGACAGGUGCAUGAGAUUGGUGGAUUCUAGUUUCCAAGCACACACACUAACAGCAAGAGAGACUUGGGAAGCAAGAAUCCAAAAAUUUCAAACUCUGUUGUUAGAAGUAGGCAUUUUGUUAUAGUGGAAAAAAUGCAAGUCACAUUAAUUUAAUAAGAAGCAAAAAAAUAAUAGUAAGAUGGUUUCAACAUCAUCAACUUUGGCUGUGCAAUAUUAGUAUAAUUAUUUGUUCUUUUCUUUAUACUUCUAAAAUCAUACAUUUUUUCUAACAUAAUGCAAUUAUUUCUUGUACAAUCAAAUACAUGUUAAUCUUCCAAUCGAAAGGGUUAAAGCAAAUUACUAUGAAUUACCGAAACCAAUGUAAGACCAUAAUCAUCCAAUCAUGCCCAUUAAAAUCUUGCUUUUGUUAAAAUGUUAUCUUGAUAUUAUCAACAACAUACACCCUUUAUUGAAGAAAAAAGAAAAUGAAGUGUACAGAAGAGGGAAAGUAUUUGCCUAAUAUAGCUAUGCAUAUGACAGAGCAAGAAAGGAAAUAUGAGUUAAUGCCCAUAAGUCUUCAUUUUUUAAUUGUCAAUAGAUCGUAGUUGUUUUUUAUUACUGCCUUGGUUUGCUAAUCACACCACAAGUCCUGUACCACAGCCAACAACUCAGUUGUUAAGUUUUUGCCCUGUGAAGUAAUGUAUCUAUCUAUAUAUCUUCAUGAAUUUUUAUCAGCUUUAUUGAUAUAUAAUUAACAAAUAUAUAUUGUAUAUAUUAAAGAUGUACAAGUGAUGUUUUGAUAUAUGUAUGUAUUGUAAAAUAAUCACCAUAUUGAAACUCAUAUAUCUAUCUCUUCACAUGAUUACUUUUUGAUGAGAACUCUUAAGAUUUACUUGCUUAGCAAAUUUUAGGCUCACAGUAUACAAUAAUGUUAGUUAAAACCACAUUGAUAUAUAUUAGAUCUCCAGAACUCAUUCAUCUUGCAUAACUGAAAUUGUGUACCCUGUGACAAACAUCUCCAAUCUCUCCCUACCCCGAGCCACUGAAAACCACCAUUUUACUCUAUGCUGCUAUGAGUUUGACUACUGUAGAUUCCACAUGUAUGUGAGAUCACACAGUAUUUAUCUUUCUGUGUGUCUGGCUUAUUUCGUCUCACAUAAUUGCCUCCAGAUUUAUCUAUGUCGUCACAAAAGGCAGGAUUUCCUUCUUUGUUAAGGCUAAAUAUUAUUUUGUUACAUAUCUUGUAUAGCACGAUUUUUUUAAUCCAUUUGUCAACAGACAUUUAGGUUGUUUCCAUAUCUUGGCUAUUGUCAAUUGUGGGGCAAUUAGCAUGGGGAUAUAAAUAUCUCUCUGAGGCACUGAUUUUAAUUCCUUUGUCUGAAUAACCAGAAAUAGGUUUGCUGAAUCAUAUGGUAUUUCUAUUUUUAAUUUCUUGAGAAACCUCUCUACUAUUUCCAUAAUGGAUGUACUAACUUACUUUCCCACCAACAGUACACAAGCAUUUUUUUUUUAUCCACAUCCUUGUCAACACUUAUCUUUUGUCUUUUUGAUAAUAGACAUUCCAACAGGUGUCAGCUGAUAAUCUCAUUGUAGUUUCUUCACUCUUAAGGAAUCUGAAUUUUUAUUGCCUCUGACUGUGUAAGGUGGUUGUGUUUUUUAAAGCUGUACCAUUUCACUUACCAUCAGAAAUAUAAACCUAGCACCUUAAUGUAUACUCUCUAAGAAGCAGACCCAGCCUCUAGAAUUCAAGUAAAAGUAGUUGAUUUGGAAAAUGAAAUGAUUAAGGAAGUAGGGAAUUGAUAAUAGAAUAAACACCUAUUAAUGACUGUAGUAUUAAGACAGCUACCCUAAAGUGCUAUUAAGGCUUAAUCCACUGGGGAAACACUGAAAGGAUGCAAACGCACACUUCUAUCAGCCCCAUUCAUGGGGUCAAGUAUCUGUGGUUUUUAUACCCUAACUCCUAAGCAUCAUUGGUGAGGGCUGCUACUGGGUGCUAUAUUUCCCUGCAUAUCCUGCCUGCUGCCAAAACUAUGUAGGAAACUGAUCUUUCCAAAAUCCAAGGGAAAGGAGUUUUCAGCUUCAGGGAUGUAGAUACUGUUGAAAAUCACCCAGAGAAUAUGAAAGGUCUAGGGAAAAUGGGCCAGACAUUGCCAGGGUGAGCUACAUUUUGGGGUUCUCUUGGGCUUAAAUUAUUUUUCUUCUCCUUGUAUUUACUAGUAACAAACACUACAGAUUACAUCACUGAUGACUUCACAAACAGGACAUUCAUACUGUCACUCAAACUGCUACAACUGCAGCUACAGGAACUGGCUGCAGCUGCCACUGUCGCCUUGUCAUCCUUGACUUCUCACAUGAUUAAAUUUUAAUUCAAGUCUAUGGUAGGUGUGUUUGAUUGGUGAAGCCUAUAUCAAGGAUUUUACUGUGUAUUAAAGGGCCUAAAAGAUAAAUAUCAGUAGUUUUCACAGUUUAAAAUAAUAUGAAGCAGUCUCUGCUUUACAGUUCAGUGAUUCUCCAAAAGUAGGAAGGAAAUUCAACUGCAGAGAAACUUAAGUGAAUGAAAAUUCACGUACAAUCAUCUUAUAUAAAUUGUUUUUAUUUCUUUCUCUCAGGAUAACUUUCACAGAGGUAAUGGAAUUUUUAUUACAAGAGAGAAAUCUAAGCAAUGUACCACAGUCUGAAGGUUAAUUAGGUAGUGAGGAAUAAACAACGGGCAUUCCAAAUAUUGACUUUCUGUUUCUAAAACUAUUACUUGUUCAGGUGGUUAAGUAGAUUAUGUUAUUGGCAACCAUCUGCACUUCUCCCUGGAUUACACCUUUUGCCAUAACCUUAAGGGCCCUUCAAACGUGAACAGUGUGCAGUUUUCUGUUUCUCCACAUUAGCCUCAGCCAUGCAAUAUCCUUUGGCCAACAGGAUGAAGCAAAAGUGAUGAUGGGCCAGUUCUAAACAUAUACUUCAAGGGUCCCUACGUGUUUUCACCUGUGCAUAAGUUCCUCUGAAAUUGCCGUGAGAGUGAGAACAUUCCUAGUAAGUUCAUGGGAAUGAGGUGUGGAUUAGGGACCCUUGAAGCAGAGCCACCCACAGCUGAGCUCAAGCUAGAUAAAUGAACCAUAGCUAGACACAAACAAAUAUGAGCCCAAUUCAUACCAGUAGAGAUGCACAUUAUCACAAAAUUUAGGUCAACUGACCUCAGUCUGGCUCAAGAGCUAAAACAUUAUUGUAUGUUCCUUAUAUUUCUAUGGGUGAUUUUCCACACAGAAUUUUGUUUCUAUAGCUAAUACCUCAUGCUACCAAGAAAGGGAAUAUGAAAUCUACAAUUCUUCUGAUGAAUGCCAUUGUACAUGUUCCCUUCCUCUUUACUCUGCUGUGUGAUCUUUUUAUUAAGCCAAACUUGUAAAUACCUCAGAUGGUUAAAGGAGUGUUAUUUCCAAGCAUCUUGAAUAUGUGAACAGUGACAAGUCAAUAAACAAACAGGUAUGUCAAUAUAUUGGCAACUUAAAGGAUAUACAUAGUUUCUUCUUUAGUAUGCAAUAUAGUUUGACUGUGUCCCCACCCAAAUCUCAUCUUGAAUUGUAGCUUCUAUAAUCCCCACAUGUUGUGGGAGGGACCUGGGAAGAGGUAAUAAAUCAUGGGGGCGGGUUUGUCCUGUGCUGUUGUCACAAUAGCAAAUAAGUCUCACGAGAUUUGAUGGUUUUAUAAAAGGGAGUUCCCCUGCACUGGCUCUCUUGCCUGCCACCAUGUAAGAUGUGACUUUUUUCCUCAUUCACCUUCUGCCAUGAUUGUGAGGCCUCCCCAGCCAUGUGGAACUGUAAGUCAAAUAAACCUCUUUCCUUUAUAAACUACCUAGCCUCAGGUAUCUUUUUAUUAGCAGCAUGAGAACAGACUAGUUCAGUAUGUGAAAAAAUAAAAAUGGAGAAGCAUUUUAAAGAAAUAUGUGUUUUAUAAAUAAAGAAAACCAUCAUUUACCUCAUAAACCAGAUGAUUUUUUUGUCUGCUGAUUUUACAAAACUUAUCUUCAAUAAAAAGAAAUGAAUUUUACUAGUGUAGCAAAAUUAAAUUAUUUUCUCUGCUGUAGUCCACAGUUUUGUCUUUUGAGACAAAAAUGAUUUUUUAAAAAAAUAUAUUUGUUUAUGUUUCUUGAGUUCCAGAAUAAAGUCAGGCAAAACAAUCAAUAGUAUUUAAAUCAUUAUAAUAUUGCUCUUUAAUAUAAUACACCUUAAAAAGUUGAUUUAACACCAGGCUGAGUACAGAGUAGUUACACAUAAAUGUAACAAGUUAGAAAAAAAAAAAAAGAGAAAGAAAUAUGAAAUCAGAAAGAAGGUCAAAUUGACCAAAGAGGGAAAAUGUUGGGGCCCAAAGUACUCAAAGGAGAAAAAUGGAAGGUUGAUUGAGAUGAGGAAAAAAGAGAUUGCUGUAGAGCAAUCUAUCACUGAAGAGGUAGACUGAGAAAGAAAAGGAAAAGGUUCUUAGGCAAUUGCACAGCAUUUGAGUGAGAAAUCUAUCACUUCCAUCUCUCUUUAUUUUUAUCUUGAUCAGUAGGAUUUUGAAGUUUAUUGUGAGGUGCACAAGUUUUCCUCUUAAUAACAUCAAUGUUCUUAUAAGUUCCUAAACAAUAUUUAUAUCUGUGCCAUUCUUAUAUAUCCAUCCUGCUUUAAACGUAUAUUGUUUAACACAUUGUUCAAACAUAUUCUUCAUACUCUAAUUUUACUGUAAAUUUCCUAUUAAAAAUCUCUGAUAUUAGUUUGUUGUGUUUUGUGCUUUUUGUUACCCUUUGUAAAGGAGUAGUAGGACAUAUUUUUGUAAACUUACCAGUCUUUUUAUGUGAGGUGGUGACCCCAAAAUAUACCACCUCUGAAAUAUUUAACACCCAUUAUCCAC
rnacentral:lncRNA from 10 species